rnacentral:tRNA from 1 species
GGCACUGAAGCUCAUGAGGUAUGAGCAACCGACUCAUAAUCGGAAGGUAGGUUUGGAUUCGAAUUCCCCCAGUGCCA